rnacentral:lncRNA from 1 species
UUGCUCAUUCCUGUAUGCCGCUCAAGGCAAGGGGGAGAGGGAGGAGGUUUUAGAAGAGGGUGGAUGCAGAGAAGGUGUUUUUAGUUGUUUUGUUGUUUUUGUUUGUUAGUUUUGCUUUUAGUUUCUCACUGCUCUAUUAAUAAUAUGUAAAAAAUGACAUUCAUCUCCCUAUGCUGAAUCUGGUUUGCCCAUGAUGAUAAUUGUUGAGUGAUCUCCCUGUCCUUAUCUCAACCCUUUCAUUGAGCCCUUGAGCCCUUUUCAUUGUAUUUUCUCCCACUUUCCUUUGAGGAGGGGGAGUGAGGGAGAAGUUGUGGUGCAGCUCAUCUGCCCAGCUGUGUAAAACCACCACGCUGUCUCUCAGAGAGGGGUCCAAUUGUUAGCAUCUGUGCCCACCAGCCAGGUCCUAGUCUCCUGGCUAAUCCAUGGAAGUGCUGUUGAUGGCUGCAUGCAGUUGGUACACCUUUUCUAUAAUGGGGCUUUUAAUUAUUUUUAUCCUUCUCCUCAAUGAAGACCAGACAUACAUUAUACUGACCAGCUUCAAUAAUAUUUAUCAUCUCCAGCAGAGGGAGAAAAGUGAAUUCAGAAGGAAAGGAGAACUGCAAUAGAUUUACAGCAGUUACAAAAAUAAAACUAUGAAUUGGCCAACAAAUUAUUUCCAGCUUUGCAUCUUGUCCUGCAGUUAGGUGUUGCUUUUGCUUCUA